rnacentral:rRNA from 1 species
AUUGAACGCUGGCGGAAUGCUUUACACAUGCAAGUCGAACGGCAGCACGGACUUCGGUCUGGUGGCGAGUGGCGAACGGGUGAGUAAUACAUCGGAACGUGCCCAGUCGUGGGGGAUAACGUAGCGAAAGCUACGCUAAUACCGCAUACGAUCUAAGGAUGAAAGCGGGGGAUCGCAAGACCUCGCGCGAUUGGAGCGGCCGAUGGCAGAUUAGGUAGUUGGUAGGGUAAAGGCCUACCAAGCCGACGAUCUGUAGCUGGUCUGAGAGGAUGAUCAGCCAAACUGGGACUGAGACACGGCCCAGACUCCUACGGGAGGCAGCAGUGGGGAAUUUUGGACAAUGGACGCAAGUCUGAUCCAGCCAUUCCGCGUGCAGGAUGAAGGCCCUCGGGUUGUAAACUGCUUUUGUACAGAACGAAAAGGCUCUGGUUAAUACCUGGGGCUCAUGACGGUACUGUAAGAAUAAGCACCGGCUAACUACGUGCCAGCAGCCGCCGUAA